CAUCCAAGCCCUUGGUCUGCGGCUCCACCAAAUAUUGGGGCCCUUGACAAGUGUGUCACCAACUAAGGAGUUAGGUGUGCUGGGCCAAUGUGAAGACGUAACUCUGGAAUACUUCAUAAACAGUGGCAAACUGGAGCAAUUUUACCAGGUGGCAGCUUAUGUGGAUGAUAUUCUCAUUCACAAGUUACCUUGUGCAGCAUGUCAAGAACUCUGCCUCCACAACUGGCUGGGAGGAUACUGUGAGAAGUGUAAAGAUGUGGUCAAUGCUUGGGACUUGAUUCAGAGAUACACAAGUGAUACGAUGCAGAUGAGUCCGAUGCUGCCCUGCAACAAGUGUGGAAAACAGCAAGCUGCA